CAGCAGCCGCGGUAAUACCGGCGGCCCGAGUGGCGGUCACUAUUAUUGGGCUUAAAGCGUCCGGAGCCGGGUUGGGAAGUCCUCCGGGAAAUCUGGCCGCUUAACGGUCAGAAUGCCGGAGGAUACUCCCAGCCUAGGGAGCGGGAGAGGCCGAGGGUAUUCCCGGAGUAGGGGUGAAAUCCUAUAAUCCCGGGAGGACCACCUGUGGCGAAGGCGCUCGGCUGGAACGCGUCCGACGGUGAGGGACGAAGGCCAGGGGAGCAAACCGGAUUAGAUACCCGGGUAGUCCUGGCUGUAAACGAUGCGGACUUUGUGUCGGACAAGCUAUGAGCUUGUCCGGUGCCGGAGGGAAACCGUUAAGUCCGCCGCCUGGGGAGUACGGCCGCAAGGCUGAAACUUAAAGGAAUUGGCGGG
rnacentral:rRNA from 1 species